rnacentral:lncRNA from 1 species
GAGAUUUUUCUGGCUUGGACCAGUGGAUGUUGAUGCCAUUCAGUAUAAGAGAGAAUCAUGGAAAAGCAGCAAAGUGGCAAGAUAAAUAAAAGGGUUGAUCUCCAUGACUGGAAUGUUUCUGUCUGCAGAACACUCAUCCGCUUUAAAAAGAAAGUAAGAAGACACUUGAGAAGCAGCAAAAUCAAUUAUGACUGUAUAGAACAGCUGAGACCAAAAGAAUGUGUCUACAUAAUUUCUUCAAUUGGAAUUUAUUCUGAUAUUAGCUAUUU